UAAGUAGGGUGCGAGCGUUGUUCGGAAUCACUAGGCGUAAAGCGCGCGUAGGCGGGUUUGUAAGUCGAUUGUGAAAGCCCUGGGCUUAACCCGGGAAUUGCAGUCGAAACUGUGAAUCUUGAAUGUUUGAGAGGAUGGUGGAAUUCCAGGUGUAGAAGUGAAAUUCGUAGAUAUAUGGAGGAACAUUGGAGGCGAAGGCGGCCAUCUGGCAAAACAUUGACGCUGAAGUGCGAAAGCGCGGGGAUCAAACAGG
rnacentral:rRNA from 1 species